UGGCUAGCCAGCUAAUCCAGCUUCAUGGUACAGGCUCCAGGAAGAUAACCAAAUAAGGGCACACAGGAACUAAAACAAAACAAAAUACAGGAAAACACAGACACUUUGGGGUUCUUGACAACUAAAAGUGUGACAGAAGAUCAAGCAAAGUGCAGACAGAUCAAUCCAGGCAAUCUAAAACUCACAGUCCAGAACUGGAAGAGGAUCAUAACAGUGAGGCAAUCCAGAAAGGUGAACAGAAACCACGGGGAAAUCCAAACUCCAGAGUCAGUAACAGUACAUUGUCAGCAACACACAGUCAAUGAGUGAGAUCUGAAGAAAAAGAGGGAACCACAACACAGCUGAGCAGAAAGAAACUCCUGAGAAAAACACACUGGCAAAAACCACAAAAAUAAAAACAGAGAAAAAAGGAAACAAGAGGGAGAUCAAACCUGAGUCCUGACAGUUCCAUUAAAAUCAACCAGUGCUCUCGUUCACACUCUAUAUUCUCCCCAGACCUGUUGCUUUCUGCGUAUACCAUGACUGAGCUGUGCCAAUUCUGUGGCUUUAUUUUGAUGAAGCAGAGGACCACCGUGCCCACCUUCACUGUCUUCACUGUCUUCAGUCAGAUUGGAAUCUGAUCAUGGAUGGGAAAGGGACAUUGAGGCUGUCGUUGCCUAAGUGCACCCAUCUACAUCAUCAGCCCAUACAGAGAGCCUUUGGCAUGCUGAAAACAUGCUGGCAUUCUGUUUUCUUCAAGGCCUUAGAGGUGAGUUCUGCCUUUGUGCCCGAGGUUGUGUUCUCAGUGGGGACAGGGUUGAGCCAGAGGAUCAGGAAGACCAUGAGGACAGACCCUUGAACCAAGAGUGGAAGACAAUCUGACUGCUGCUG